rnacentral:rRNA from 1 species
CCUACGGGUGGCAGCAGUGGGGAAUAUUGCACAAUGGGGGAAACCCUGAUGCAGCAACGCCGCGUGGGUGAAGGAGCGUUUCGGCAUGUAAAGCUCUGUCAGCGGGGAAGAAGAAAGACGGUACCCGACCAAGAUGCCCCGGCUAACUACGUGCCAGCAGCCGCGGUCAUACGUAGGGGGCGAGCGUUAUCCGGAAUUACUGGGUGUAAAGGGAGCGUAGAGGGCGAGGUAAGCCUGAAGUGGAAGCCCGCGGCCCAACCGGGGAACUGCUUGGGAAACUGGUGUGCUGGAGUAUGGGAGAGGUAGGCGGAAUUCCUGGUGUAGCGGUGAAAUGCUUAGAUAUCAGGAGGAACACCGGUGGCGAAGGCGGCUUACUGGACCAUAACUGACGUUGAGGCUCGAAAGCGUGGGGAGCAAACAGGAUUAGAUACCCCUGUAGUC